AACGCGAAGAACCUUACCUACCCUUGACAUGCCAGGAACCCUGCUGAGAGGUGGGGGUGCCCGAAAGGGAACCUGGACACAGGUGCUGCAUGGCUGUCGUCAGCUCGUGUCGUGAGAUGUUGGGUUAAGUCCCGCAACGAGCGCAACCCUUGUCACUAGUUGCUACGAAAGGGCACUCUAGUGAGACUGCCGGUGACAAACCGGAGGAAGGUGGGGAUGACGUCAAGUCCUCAUGGCCCUUAUGGGUAGGGCCUCACACGUCAUACAAUGGCGCAUACAGAGGGUUGCCAACCCGCGAGGGGGAGCCAAUCCCAGAAAGUGCGUCGUAGUCCGGAUUGUUCUCUGCAACUCGAGAGCAUGAAGUCGGAAUCGCUAGUAAUCGCGGAUCAGCAUGUCGCGGUGAAUACGUUCCCGGGUCUUGUACACACCG
rnacentral:rRNA from 1 species